rnacentral:rRNA from 1 species
UCCUACGGGGGGCAGCAGUGAGGAAUAUUGGUCAAUGGUCGGGAGACUGAACCAGCCAAGCCGCGUGAGGGAUGAAGGUACAGAGUAUCGUAAACCUCUUUUGUCAGGGAACAAAGGCGGGGACGUGUCCCCGGAUGAGUGUACCUGAAGAAAAAGCAUCGGCUAACUCCGUGCCAGCAGCCGCGGUAAUACGGAGGAUGCGAGCGUUAUCCGGAUUUAUUGGGUUUAAAGGGUGCGCAGGCGGUCUGUUAAGUCAGCGGUCAAAGCCCGGGGCUCACCCCCGGCCCGCCGUUGAAACUGGCAGU